CAGCCGCCGCGGUAAUACAGAGGGUGCGAGCGUUAAUCGGAUUUACUGGGCGUAAAGCGUGCGUAGGCGGCUUCUUAAGUCGGAUGUGAAAUCCCUGAGCUUAACUUAGGAAUUGCAUUCGAUACUGGGAAGCUAGAGUAUGGGAGAGGAUGGUAGAAUUCCAGGUGUAGCGGUGAAAUGCGUAGAGAUCUGGAGGAAUGCCGAUGGCGAAGGCAGCCAUCUGGCCUAAUACUGACGCUGAGGUACGAAAGCAUGGGGAGCAAACAGGAUUAGAUACCCCGGUAGUCCCUGUCUCUUAUAA
rnacentral:rRNA from 1 species